GGAGAGAUGUCCGAGUGGUUGAUGGAGCUGGUCUUGAAAACCAGAGAUGCCUUACGGCAUCCGUGGGUUCGAAUCCCACUCUCUCCUCCA
rnacentral:tRNA from 1 species